rnacentral:lncRNA from 1 species
UUGUAUAACCCGAAUGCAUGUUAUGCAGUGGCCCCAAUUUCCAUUUUAGGUGAAGUAGCAGUUGGUCCAUCGAUCUACGAAGAAUGCAUUGAACAUAGUCAUGGAUAUCGUCAAGCAAUCCAACAAAGGAAGAACUCAUAAUAAUCAUAUAUCUUCUUGGCCUUUGGUUUUGGUGGGUAGUAAAGGAGAUGGCCUACAAAAUGAAGUUUUGCUUGAUUGGCCAUAUUUCUAUGUCACCAUUAAUUAUAUGGAGUGCUAUUUGUGGUGCC